rnacentral:sRNA from 1 species
AGCAGCCGCGGUAAUUCCAGCUCCAAUAGCGUAUAUUAAAGUUGUUGCAGUUAAAAAGCUCGUAGUUGAAUUUCGGGAUCAGUACGCUGGUCGUGCCUUGUGUAUGUACUGGUGUUACUGGUUCCUACCUUCUGACGAACCGUCAUGUCAUUAAUUUGGUGUGGCGGGGAAUCAGGACUGUUACUUUGAAAAAAUUAGAGUGUUUAAAGCAGGCUCGCGCUUGAAUACAUUAGCAUGGAAUAAUGAAAUAGGACGUUUGAUCCUAUUUUGUUGGUUUCUAGGAUUGACGUAAUGAUUAAUAGGGGUAGUUGGGGGCAUUAGUAUUCAAUUGUCAGAGGUGAAAUUCUUGGAUUUAUUGAAGACUAACUACUGCGAAAGCAUUUGCCAAGGAUGUUUUCAUUAAUCAAGAACGAAAGUUAGGGGAUCGAAGACGAUCAGAUACCGUCGUAGUCUUAACCAUAAACUAAUGCCGACUAGGGAUCGGAUGAUGUUAAUUUUUUAAUGACUCAUUCGGCGCCUU